AUUUCAUGACAUCAUUCUUUUCUGAACUUUUUGGUGAUAAGCUUCCACAGGUGCCGAAGAUUGAGCAAGCGCAUAGGACUCUUGCACCCCAGGAAAUCUUGCAACUUUCUAGGGAGCAUGGAUCUUCCAGGAUCUCAAUCUUCCCUGACCUCCUCAUAGAACUCAGUAAAUGGCAAUACCAGUUUAAAGUGGUGAAAGCUGAGCUGCAUGGUGCCGGAACUAAAUUCAGGAUGCUAUAUCUUUGCAGACUUAAACAUUUCGUGCAUUUAAUUUAAUGGAGUGACUCGCAGCUUCAACAAUCCUUACGCCGGAUCUACCUUCUUCACCACUGUCAUCAAACACAUGUUGGACUGUGGGAAGACCACAGUGGUCACGGGUGAACAGAAGGGAACCUAAUUGAUGAAAUACGGCAUGGUGCCGUCUGUUGUGGUCGGGGUAACACAUAAGCAAUGUUAUAUCCGAUCAUGUAACGCUUUCACUCUCUCCUCAGGUUCAAGUCAUCCAAUACUAGAAGCUGGAGGUUCAACUCUUUACUUCUGUCAGAUAAAGUUUUCACUAACUUGUUCGAAACCCAAUUAGUCACUUUUUAAAAAAAUAAACACUAACUCUGUUGUGUCACCCUUUGUUUUUUUGGGAAUCUCUGAAGGCCUACCCAGAUAGCAAAAAAUAUCCGCACGGCUUCUUUUUGCCGCCGUCCCUAAGCUGUCGGCUAUAGGUGCGUCCCACUGGCGGGGAUGAAACGUUUGCCGCCAAAUUCGUCACUCCCAUUUCUUGCGAGAUGCCGCCGGCGACCAGACGGCGGGCCGCCCGCUUCAUUUUCUCUGGCGGUUGACUCGGGCUGAUCGACCGCGGGCGGCUGGCGGCAAGCCGCUUUGAAAUACAAGGAUUUCUACUCACAAAAUCGACCAGCCAUGUUGGCUAUUAUUAUUUUUUGCUCCAAAGCCAUUAGGGUUUAUAACAGAGUCUUGACUCUUGAUUCCAUGAUAAGGUAAGGUUUAGGAAAUGACAUUUAAAUUACUUUGAAACUCUGAAGCGAUUAUACAGUAAUAUAUGUAAAAUAUAUUGAAUUAUUUUAUGCACUUGAAAAUUGUUUACAUUUCUUUGAUUGCUGCGCAUUUGAGACAUGCACCAAUAAACCAAAAAGAAUUCCUUUUGUAAAACUUACUUGGCAAUAAAUAUCUUUAUGAUUCUGAUUAGGUUUUAAAAUAGAUAUUUAAUUCAUGGUAUGAACAAUUUAGCAGAAUAAAUUGAUGAAGUUAGACUUUUCACCAAUGCCUGACUAUCAGUGAACAGUGAAAGACAUCUGCAACAUGGCCAAAAUCUCGGGUAUACUUUAAUUUUUUUUAUUAAUUUGCAACCAUGGUGAUAUCUGUCAUAAACAUGAAAAUCCCUGUUUUGACGUGAAGGAUAAACUCAAUGAAAAAGCGAAAUUAUCCUCUGGUUUCACAGUUGCGCAGAAAUUUCGUUUAUGUCUAAAUUUUUUCCAACCUCGAUUUUUUUUUGUUAUUUUACUUUUUACGGGUUUUGCAAUUAUGACCUGUACAAAUGUUUAAGAAAGUGUUAAAGUCCCUGUAAAGGCAAUAAAAAAAAAUCUAAACGCAUUAUAAAUGUUAAAAAUGUAUUGCUAAAACACAUUACAAAGACUGAACUGUGAAGUUCCGCUGUCGCCAUAUCUGUUUCCGUUUUACUUGCGCGUCGCCCAAAAUGUCUGUUUUUACUCGAUGUCUCCAGAAUCUUCCGAAAAUACGCGUCAGCAAUGUUCAUCGCAUUGUUGAUGCCUGGUCCCCUGCUCCGACAAGCAAGAGGGACAAGGGCUUUAAACUCUACAUAUCGAGUUAUCUGCACAACUACAAGGGUAAGUAUUUUAAUCUAAUGUGGUGUGCUGGCAGAUAAGCUAGUUCGCCACGUGUUCAUUUUUUAUGUAAGGUUAGUAUAGAAGCUUGUUUUUUCUUAGUUUUAAAGCUGACUGUUUGUUAAUUUUUGUGAUAAUUGUAAUAUAAAUUAUAUUAACUUGCUCUCCUCUCAGUUUCUAAUAAAGAUCAGGGCACAGGUGAAGUCACUGUCAGGGCAUUGUGCUACAGGUCCAUGAGGAAAACAGAUAAACCUCACAGUUUGAGUGUAUGGUGAAGCUAGAAUUGAUAAGACCGCAGUUACAGGCUUGUUACUUUAAUAGCCCGAUGUUCCUGGGGACUCGGCUAAGGUUAUUCAUGUUUAAUGUAACUCAAAUCAAAUGAAAACAGUUAUUGUAGGCAGGUAAGUUUCCCUAGCUGGUCCCCUCCGGGUAAAAUGAGUUCUUAUUCAAGUUUUCAACUCAGUCAUUCGUUUAAGAUGCAAUCUUGUGUUAUAAGUAUUAGGCUAUCAUGAUUAUACAGUGAGCAAGCUAUAUAAAUAAGUAUUUAAUAUAAUAAAAGUGUAGAGCAACAACCGAGGGUGUAAGGUAAAGGCUGAAUAUUGUAGAUUUAUUACAAUAUGUUGCAUGUUUGAAUUAAAAUACCUGUGGAUAUGCAGGAGCACACACUCUACAAAGGCCUGACUGGAGAUUUGCCUGAUCUAUCCGUCCUUCAGGUGAGUAGGGAUAUAACAAUAGCAAAUUUCACUGUACAGUAUGAUAUAUCAACCAAAAUCUGUAUACCAAUAUUUCAUUAUUUUCUUUUUCCUCCCUUUUACAAACAAAUAUUCUGCUUCAAAGAAAAAAAAUGAAAUUGAUGUUAUCAUAAGUGUUCUUCAUUAUGAACUUGUAUGCCAUGCAUAACAUACUGUGGAUAGAAAUUACAGGGAAAGUUACUGGUAUGAUAAUUGUAGUUAUAUUAUAUUACUAUUAUAUUUAGUGUAUUGCUAAUCAAUAUAUUGUUACUUCCCAGGUGACAGCGGCUCACUUAUAGAGCAGGUGAAGCAAGUUGGGACAAUGUUGGAGACAUUUGCUCGCACUGGGCAAUCGGGUGCAGAUCAAACCCUAAUGCUGCGACGUCUUGGAGUUUGGCGAUGUUGUGCGUAGCAUGGACAACAAAAUGCUAUGCUGCAACAUUUCAGUGCCAAUGUGUCUGUUGGAGAGUUAUCCCUGCCAGGUGAUCUGUUACUCCCCCCUAGACACCCAGGAAGAUUUGGCGUUGCUUGACAACAGUUUGAGGCAGGAUAAAGAGCUCCAGCAACGAUUUCUUCGGUUUUUGGCAAUCAAAUGUGGGAGGGACCUAAAACAACCGUGUGGCGAAUGCUUCAGAGUAUCUUCUCUAAUCACCUUUCCAUCAAUACAACCUGGACUGGUGUAGGGGAUAAAGCAUGUUUUAGAGACAUGUUCCUGAAGACCAUUGUUCAAAGAGCCAUCCGGAAGAACCCGGCAACCCAGGAUGCCACUGAUGAGGUGAUCCAGGUUAACGUUACGCGUUACCUGAAAGGAGCAUCUGAACAUGAAGGUGGAAAAAGGCGCCGCACAGCUGAGAGGGACCCACAGCCGACCCCUUAAAUGUAGGCUGACUACUGACACCCCAGCAUCACUGACAACUGGAACCCUUUAUUUAUCCUGCACUCAGUAACAUCAAGACCCCUAAAAAAGCCUGCUAAAAGUGUCAGACUACACUCACCCAAUCCACACUGUUCACUGUGGAAAUUGCUUUUUUUUUUUUUUCUUUUCUCUCGUGACCCUGCUUUGAGGGCAGCUCCUUGGAUGAAUAUGGGAUGGUUUUUCCUUUCAUACAGGCGCAUGAGGAAUCACUGAAGAUAUGCCAAUUUGCACUGCCUCAUUCUGGAGGUCGGGGAAAACCGGUGAUUCUUAGCCCAAUACGCCACACAGUCCCUCUCCAGACAUUCUGAUUGGCUGUGUUCUCUACAGACAGAUUUUCUGCUGUUAAUUAUAUUUAUUCCCACUUGUUGUCAUGUGUAAGUUGAAUGUCAAAAUGUAUAUUAUACCUGUUAUCCUGCACAUUCCUUGAUACCAAAGAUCUCAAUUAUUUCAUAUACAAUUUGCUGCUUAUUUCAUUGUUACAGUGCUUAACUAUUCUAUUUUUAAAUAUAGCUUGUAAAUCCUAGAUUAUACAUCUAAUACUUGAUAUUUGCACAUUAUCUGGUAUCAAAUAUUCUACUUACCGUGACUUUAGUAUUGGCUUAUUUCAUUCCUUCAGUGCUUAACGAUUCUAUUAUAGUUUGUAAAUCCUAUUUCAUACCUCUGAUACUUGAUAUUGCACAUUAACUAGUACCAAAAAUUCUACUUUCAUUCCGUCACAGUGCUUAACUGUUAUUCUAUUGUUAAAUAUAGCUUGUAAAUCCUUGUGCCACAGGUCAGCAUUGCAGUUAUAAUGGUAUAUUCUACUCCAGAGCUUUAGUCUAAAUUAUUACCACUUAACCUAUUGUUAGAAAUGACUUGUAAAUAUGAUGUUAUACCUCAAUUUAUUUGGUAUCCUGCACUUUAUUUGGUACCAAAUAUCCUCAUUGCUUAUGUUUACUGGUAAUUCUUUUUAUCCCAGAGCUGACCUCUUUAUAUUAUUAACAAUUAUUGUAAGUGUUACAAUAGUGUUUUUUUAAAAAAAAAAAUUUUUUUUUACCAAAAUUGAAUUGGAAACCUGCAUGUUCUUUAGUGUGUGUGUGUGUGUGUGUGUGUAUAUAUAUAAUGUUUGUAUUUUUCUGUUAUUUA